rnacentral:rRNA from 1 species
AACAAGGAUUCCCCUAGUAGCGGCGAGCGAAGCGGGAAGAGCUCAAAUUUAUAAUCUGGCACCUUCGGUGUCCGAGUUGUAAUCUCUAGAAAUGUUUUCCGCGUUGGACCGCACACAAGUCUGUUGGAAUACAGCGGCAUAGUGGUGAGACCCCCGUAUAUGGUGCGGACGCCCAGCGCUUUGUGAUACAUUUUCGAAGAGUCGAGUUGUUUGGGAAUGCAGCUCAAAUUGGGUGGUAAAUUCCAUCUAAAGCUAAAUAUUGGCGAGAGACCGAUAGCGAACAAGUACCGUGAGGGAAAGAUGAAAAGCACUUUGGAAAGAGAGUUAACAGUACGUGAAAUUGUUGGAAGGGAAACGCUUGAAGUCAGACUUGCUUGCCGAGCAAUCGGUUUGCAGGCCAGCAUCAGUUUUUCGGGGUGGAUAAUGGUAGAGAGAAGGUAGCAGUUUCGGCUGUGUUAUAGCUCUCUACUGGAUACACCCUGGGGGACUGAGGAACGCAGUGUGCCUUUGGCGGGGGUUUCGACCUCUUCGCACUUAGGAUGCUGG